CAUUAUCAAAUAAUUGACAAUUUAUCGCCCUUUGUAUCAACACGCCAUUUGUAAACAUGAAAGGUCGUGUGAAAGGAAACUUUUAAACAGUAAUGUGACGAUUGAUUUAAAAGGGAUAAUGAAUGUCAUUGAGCGACUUACAGAUCAACUAUUGAUGAACUACUGAGAAACAUCUGGCAUAUUGCUAUGACCUUAAACAAACAAAAAAAGGAAUUCUCAAGGCAUGCUACAUACCACGUGUUGGAAGAGUUUGUGGAAUGGCUGAAGGAAGAAAGAAUUUCCAGCCAGAAAAAUAAAAUUCUUUAUGAAUUUGUGAAUGGAAAUGAAACCCGAGGAACUAAUAUAUUUGCUUACCAUCCAGUUGAAAGUAUGCCAAUGGAAUAAAGUGCAACUGUCACAGAAGUGCACAAAAUAUGGUCAUGUUUUCUGCAAAAGUUCACCAAGCUGAUUCAAACUACAAAUGGGAGUCAAGAAAAAAGUAAAACUAACUGAACUGUCACAAUUCAACUGUGAGAAAUGUUUGGUAAAAGUAUGUUUUGUUGUCAGAACAGCAGUGAAGUGGUUAGAGUAAAAGUGUCUUCAUUGUUUAAGCAAUACAGAAUUUUUUUUAAAAAACGUACUCCAUGCAUAAUAUAUCUUGAGUGCUCUUUUUUAUUUAAAUAAUCAUACAGUUUCAAGAAAUUUGACAAUAAAUGCUAUCUUUAAUUUUACAAGAAAAUAGUGCAUUGUUGCCAUGGUAUUAAACAUUAAUCUGACUAUAAAUUAUUGUAAAACAUCUUUCAUGUUUAUAUGUUCUAUUUGUUAAAAAAAUUAAUGUAAGGUCAUAUUCUUUUCUAAGUAAUAACUGCAUCAACAAAACAUUAUGUUAUCAUAUGAAUCUGCCUUAAACUAGCAAGAGUUGUGUCGUGUGUAUCAGAAAAUUAUGUAUAUCCCAAACAGUGUCACAUCAGUUUACAUGAAAUGAGGUUUUCUUACUUUUGAAUAUGAAAUUAGACAGCUUUCAAUGUAAAUAGUAUUUUGAAAAACACUUUAACAUAUUCAAUUAUUUCAAAAACUUGAUAGAAAUGGUACUUUUGGUAAGAAAAUACAUCAUGGUUGCUAUGGUAAC